UCUUGUGGGGCUCUUGUUGCAGUCACGUUUGUGGUAUGGAUUGAAGACAAUAAAGGCUGGCAAUGGGGCUUUGGGAUUUCCACUGCAACAAUACUGAUCUCCAUCCCACUCUUCCUCCUAGGCUCUCCUAAAUACAGGACCAAAAUUCCUGCAGGAAGUCCAAUUACAACUAUGUUUAAGGUAAAAUCAUUAUUAACAUAGAACAAUUUAAAUUUGAAUAGACUGAACCUGCGUAAACAAAACUCACCUCCUUUAUUUUUGAAUUGCGUCCCGCAGGUUAUUACUGCAGCAAUUUGCAAUGCCUGCAAAGCUAGAAAUCCUAGCAAUGCUGUCACCAACAUGGCCAUAACCCCAUCUUAUACAAAUGACCCUAGUGAGAGAGAAGAAAAGAUAAGUCAAACUCCAUCUGAGAGCCUCAAGUUCCUUAACAGAGCAGUGACUAUUAGACCAGUCCAUCCAAUGCUAAAAUGUACUGUAAAGCAAGUCGAAGAGGUGAAGAUAGUGUUAAAAAUUCUCCCUAUCCUUAUGUCUACCAUAAUGCUAAACUGCUGCCUAGCUCAACU
rnacentral:lncRNA from 1 species